AAUUUUGGACAAUGGGGUAAACUCUGAUCCAGCAAUGCCGUGUGCAGGAUGAAGGCCCUCGGGUUGUAAACUGCUGUUGUACGGAACGAAAAGUCUUGGGCUAAUACCCUGGGAUCAUGACUGUAGCGUAACAAUAAGCACCGGCUCACUACGUGCCAGCAUCCGCGGUAAGACGUAGGGUGCAAGCGUUAAUCGGAAUUACUGGGCGUAAAGCGUGCGCAGGCGGUUUUGUAAGACAGUGGUGAAAUCCCCGGGCUCAACCUGGGAACUGCCAUUGUGACUGCAAGGCUGGAGUGCGGCAGAGGGGGAUGGAAUUCCGCGUGUAGCAGUGAAAUGCAUAGAUAUGCGGAGGAACACCGAUGGCGAAGGCAAUCCCCUGGGCCUGCACUGACGCUCAUGCACGAAAGCGUGGGGAGCAAACAGG
rnacentral:rRNA from 1 species